rnacentral:rRNA from 2 species
UGAUAAACGGCGGCUGUAUCAUAAACGGUCCUAAGGUAGCAAAAUUCCUUGUCGGGUAAUCUCCGUCCUGCAUGAACGGUGUAACGACUUCCCCAUUGUCGCUAGUGUGAGACUCCUAAUAAAUAGAAUUAUCCAUGAAUAUGUGGAAUCAUACGGCCCGACGGUAAGACCCUGAGCACCUUAACUUCCCUAAAA